rnacentral:rRNA from 1 species
AGAGUUUGAUCAUGGCUCAGGACUAACGCUGGCGGCGUGCCUAACACAUGCAAGUCGAACGAUUCUUUGAUUUAUAGCAAUAUUUAUUAAAGAGGAGUGGCGAACGGGUGAGUAACACGUAGAUAAUCUGCCUUUCAGACGGGGACAACUCAGGGAAACUUGUGCUAAUACCCGAUGAGACCACAAGAAGGGAUUUUUGUGGCCAAAGGCGGGCAGCAAUGCUCGUGCUGAAAGAUGAGUCUGCGUCCUAUCAGCUAGUUGGUGGGGUAAAUGCCUACCAAGGCUAAGACGGGUAGCCGGCCUGAGAGGGUGAACGGCCACACUGGGACUGAGACACGGCCCAGACUCCUACGGGAGGCAGCAGUGAGGAAUUUUCCGCAAUGGGCGCAAGCCUGACGGAGCGACGCCGCGUGAGGGAUGACAGCUUUCGGGUUGUAAACCUCUUUUAUUAAGGAAAAAGAUCUAUAUGCUAAUAUCAUGUAGAUUUGAUGGUACUUAUUGAAUAAGCCCCGGCUAACUACGUGCCAGCAGCCGCGGUAAUACGUAGGGGGCGAGCGUUGUCCAGAGUUACUGGGCGUAAAGAGCGUGUAGGCGGUUGAAAAAGUCAGGUGUGAAAUUCUUCGGCUCAACCGAGGGACUGCGCUUGAAACUUUUCGACUGGAGUUUGGGAGGGGCAACCGGAAUUCCUGGUGUAACGGUGAAAUGUGUAGAUAUCAGGAGGAACACCCGUGGCGAAGGCGGGUUGCUGGACCAAAACUGACGCUGAGACGCGAAAGCGUGGGUAGCAAACAGGGAUUAGAUACCCUGGUAGUCCACGCUGUAAACGAUGAGUGCUAGGUGUA